CAAUAGCUCAGUUAGUAAAACGUUAGACUGAAGAUCUAAAGGUCCUUGGUUCGAUCCCGGGGUUUCAACAUGA
rnacentral:tRNA from 1 species